rnacentral:rRNA from 1 species
CCUACGGGGGGCAGCAGUGAGGAAUAUUGGUCAAUGGACGAGAGCCUGAACCAGCCAAGUAGCGUGAAGGAUGACUGCCCUAUGGGUUGUAAACUUCUUUUAUAAGGGAAUAAAAUGUUCCACGUGUGGCUUUUUGUAUGUACCAUAUGAAUAAGGAUCGGCUAACUCCGUGCCAGCAGCCGCGGUAAUACGGAGGAUCCGAGCGUUAUCCGGAUUUAUUGGGUUUAAAGGGAGCGUAGGUGGGUUGUUAAGUCAGUUGUGAAAGUUUGCGGCUCAACCGUAAAAUUGCAGUUGAUACUGGCAGUCUUGAGUACAGUAGAGGUAGGCGGAAUUCGUGGUGUAGCGGUGAAAUGCUUAGAUAGCACGAAGAACUCCGAUUGCGAAGGCAGCUUACUGGACUGCCACUGACACUGAGGCUCGAAAGUGUGGGUAUCAAACAGGAUUAGAUACCCUAGUAGUC